rnacentral:rRNA from 1 species
AUUAUCAACUUUCGAUGUUAGGAUAGAGGGCCUACCAUGGUGGUAACGGGUAACGGGGAAUUAGGGUUCGAUUCCGGAGAGGGAGCCUGAGAAACGGCUAACCACUUCCAAGGAAAGGCAGCAGGGCGCGCAAAUUACCCAAUCCCGACACGGGGGAGGGUAGUGACAAUAAAUAACAAUACGGGGCUCUUUCGGGUCUCGUAAUUGGAAUGAGUACAAUUUAAAUCCCUUAAACGAGGAACAAUUGGAGGGCAAGUCUGGUGCCAGCAGCCGCGGUAAUUCCAGCUCCAAAUAGCGUAUAUUAAAGUUGUUGCAGUUAAAAAGCUCGUAGUUGAAUUUCGGGAUUGACGUGAUGGUCAUGCCUUAAGGGGUAUGAACUGUCACUGUUGAUUUCUCACCUUCUGGAGAAACUUGAUGUCCUUUAUUGGGUGUCUUGCGGAUCCAGGACCUUUACCUUGAAAAAAUUAGAGUGUUUAAAGCAGGCAUUUUUGCUCGAAUACAUUAGCAUGGAAUAAUAGAAUAGGACGGCAUGGUUCUAUUUUGUUGGUUUCUAGGAUCACCGUAAUGAUUAAUAGGGAUAGUUGGGGGCAUUAGUAUUCAAUUGUCAGAGGUGAAAUUCUUGGAUUUAUUGAAGACUAACUACUGCGAAAGCAUUUGCCAAGGAUGUUUUCAUUAAUCAAGAACGAAAGUUAGGGGAUCGAAGACGAUCAGAUACCGUCGUAGUCUUAACCAUAAACUAUGCCGACUAGGAAUCAGACGAUGUUAAUUUUUUAAUGACUCGUUUGGCACCUUACGGGAAACCAAAGUGUUUGGGUUC